rnacentral:pre_miRNA from 1 species
CAUCUACUCCCUCCGUCCGGAAUUACUUGUCGCUGAAAUGGAUAAAAAUUGAUGUAUCUAGAACUAUAAUAUGUCUAGAUACAUUCAUUCCUUUGACAAGUAUUUCUGGACGGAGGGAGUAGCUC